rnacentral:tRNA from 1 species
AUUUUAUGUAGCUUUAUUAGCGGUUUCAAUGUUAAUGAAGAGUAAGAAGGUUGAACGG